UACGUAGGGGGCAAGCGUUGUCCGGAUUUAUUGGGCGUAAAGAGCGCGUAGGCGGUCCGUUAAGUGUAGAGUGAAAGCUCCGGGCUCAACUCGGAAAUUGCUCUGCAUACUGGCGGACUCGAGGACGGAAGAGGUUUGUGGAAUUCCUGGUGUAGCGGUGAAAUGCGUAGAGAUCAGGAAGAACACCGGUGGCGAAGGCGCUCUGCUAGGCCGCAACUGACACUGAGGGACGAAAGCUAGGGGAGCGAAUGGG
rnacentral:rRNA from 1 species